rnacentral:rRNA from 1 species
UACGUAGGGGGCGAGCGUUGUCCGGAUUUAUUGGGCGUAAAGGGCUCGUAGGCGGCCAACUAAGUCAGACGUGAAAUCCCUCGGCUUAACCGGGGAACUGCGUCUGAUACUGGAUGGCUCGAGAUUGGGAGAGGGAUGCGGAAUUCCAGGUGUAGCGGUGAAAUGCGUAGAUAUCUGGAGGAACACCGGUGGCGAAGGCGGCAUCCUGGACCAACACUGACGCUGAGGAGCGAAAGCCAGGGGAGCAAACGGG